AACGAACGCUGGCGGCAUGCCUAACACAUGCAAGUCGAACGGGAUCCGGACUUCGGUUCGGUGAGAGUGGCGGACGGGUGAGUAACGCGUGGGAACCUGCCCAGUGGUGGGGGAUAACUGCGGGAAACUGCAGCUAAUACCGCAUGAGCCCGAGAGGGGAAAGAUUUAUCGCCAUUGGAGGGGCCCGCGUUCGAUUAGGUAGUUGGUGAGGUAAUGGCUCACCAAGCCGACGAUCGAUAGCUGGUCUGAGAGGAUGAUCAGCCACACUGGGACUGAGAUACGGCCCAGACUCCUACGGGAGGCAGCAGUGGGGAAUAUUGGACAAUGGGGGCAACCCUGAUCCAGCAAUGCCGCGUGAGUGAUGAAGGCCUUCGGGUUGCAAAGCUCUUCUGCCAGGGACGAUGAUGACGGUACCUGGAGAAUAAGCCCCGGCUAACUUCGUGCCAGCCGCCGCCGUAAUAC
rnacentral:rRNA from 1 species